rnacentral:rRNA from 1 species
UACGAAGGGGGCUAGCGUUGCUCGGAAUGACUGGGCGUAAAGGGCGCGUAGGCGGUUUGUACAGUCAGAUGUGAAAUUCCUGGGCUCAACCUGGGGGCUGCAUUUGAUACGUGCGGACUUGAGUGAGGAAGAGGGUCGUGGAAUUCCCAGUGUAGAGGUAAAAUUCGUAGAUAUUGGGAAGAACACCGGUGGCGAAGGCGGCGACCUGGUCCUUGACUGACGCUGAGGAGCGAAAGCGUGGGUAGCAAACAGG